UGCUUUUGCAGCUGGAAUCCUGCGGGAAACGGGGCUGAGAGGCUGUGGCUUCCAGGCUGCCUUUGCCGAACACCGAGUUCUCUUGUGGGUUCAGCCACAGACAUCAUUCCUGUACUCUUCAAGAAUCUAUCACCUAAUUGGCUGUGGCUGCCACAAUCCAAGGAGAAGUGGCUGUAAUUCAUGGGCAGCUCACACAACUCCUCCAAGCACCAGGAAGAAAGUGCUCCCAGAUGCACAGAAGAGAAAAACAGUGUGUAAAGCGGCUGCCAGCCAAUGUUGGCCAUAAAAAUCCCCAGCACCUGGCAAAAUAGAGGUAGUGGCAGCAGUAAUACACAGAAGCCCCAGAAGAGAAGAAAUGAGGAUCUGGAAAAGGGACAACCUUUGGUCCUCGGGAGCAGGUCUAUUCAAAUGAGGCCAAAAGAGGUUCAAGAUCACUGUUCUCUCUCCUUUGGGCUCAAAAGAGCCUAAAAAGCAGACUCCAGCUCCAACUCCUUCAACAGAUGAACGCCCUACAUCUGGAUUCUUGGCAUGGCCCCAAAAUUACAUCUGCCUUUGGCCAAGCCCAGAGCUAAACUGCAAAGGAAAUUAAAUUUUGGAAAUAUAGAGCACAGGCUACCGAUAAGGAGGUGAUAUUAUUACCCAGGGACUGCCAAAAUUCCCUACCCACAACUUGCAACAAGAUUAAAAAGGAAACUUCAAGAAUCAACAGGCAGGAAGAGCCAUUUCCCAAACUUUGAGAAGGGGGCAGGGGAUACCUCACCACCUCAGGUGAAGAGCGGACCCGUGGAACCAUCUGAGAGGGAAGGCUGCCUUUAUAGAAGUGACACAAGUUAAGGUCAUUCUGUCCCUCAACGCCAGCCAGCUCCACACCUUGUUAGCCUAGACUUAGAGUUGGAAAUGUAUCACACCCAUCAAGUCCCGUUCUGUGUAUCCUGAAAAGGGACCAGAAGGAAAGACAAAUGAGAACGGUCUGCUGGAGUCAUUCCAAAGUGGCGCUGUCUCCAACAGAAUGGUAACCUCAGGAGAUCACGGACCCCCAGGUUCCUCAGAGGGUGGUAUGGAGCUUCCAGCACUGCGGAGGAAGUAGGGCCUAGGGGCCUAAAGCCCCCUCCCACCACCAUGGUUUCUAAUUCCACAGGCUGCUGAACUUGGUACAUCAAGGCCCUACUGUGGCCCAUUAACAUAUAAACUUCAGAAGCUACUCUCUACUCCCAGCCUCC